CUGCCUAACAAUGAACUACC
rnacentral:miRNA from 1 species